GCCUACGGGGGGCAGCAGUGAGGAAUAUUGGUCAAUGGGCUUACGCCUGAACCAGCCAAGUCGCGUGAGGGAAGACUGCCCCGUGGGUUGUAAACCUCUUUUGUCAGGGAGCAACGCCGGCUACGUGUAGCCGGACUGAGAGUACCUGAAGAAAAAGCAUCGGCUAACUCCGUGCCAGCAGCCGCGGUAAUACGGAGGAUGCGAGCGUUAUCCGGAUUUAUUGGGUUUAAAGAGUGCGUAGUCGGAAUGCCAAGUCAGCGGUAAAAUCACGAGGCUCAACCUCACUCCGCCUUUGAAACUGCCGG
rnacentral:rRNA from 1 species